rnacentral:lncRNA from 1 species
UGUCUUCUCUGAUGUAUAUUAUAUCAAACGGGUGACACGGCAUCUUCACCUCCACGUCUUUCAAUCCUGAAUUGAUGAAUAUUUUUACACUUUUUUCAAAGAGGUAAGUAAAUGCCAAUCUUUCAUCCGGCAGGACGCAACAUCCGCAAAUCGUAUUUCCUUGAGUGUCGAUGGACUUGUGUAUCGUUAGCUUUAUAUUUUCUAUAGAUUUUGUUGGAACGAUUGGAAUCAUCAAUUGGGCUUGUCUGGCCUUCUUCUUGAUCAGAACUAUGUCGCAUGGAUUAGAUUCAAUACGCACUUCCCCAAAACUUCUGAUAUCGGAUAUGAUAUUCUGGAUAGAGGUGUUGAUCUGAUAUGAAAGAGUAUGCUGUUCCUUGCCUUCUACAAGAGCCUGCAAUUUUUUUUCUUUGCUAUAAACGUCCUCUUCUAUUUGCUUAAUUGAGAGAAACAUUUGAAGAUCUGUUGCGUGUUUCUUAAUGUUCAAUAGGCUAUUUUGGCAUUCUCCUAUUUCUUUUUCUUUCUUUUCUAGCGACAACAAUAGCUGACAUAUUUUAGAGUUUUCUUUUUCUUCGAGCUCGUUGAGUUGUUUCAUUAAAUCUUCUUGUAGUUUGUCGAGAUGGUUGUUGAUUUGUAUUCUGGACUUCUUGAUUUCUUUUUCAAUUUCCUUUCUCUUUUCUUUAAAUUUCGACAGGUUGACUUGUUCAUGCUGGCGAAUCUUCUUUAGAUUUUCUGCUAUCUCAACUAAUGAUUUCUCUAUCUCGCACAUAGCAUUGGAGGAUUUGGCGUUACGAAUGAUAUUCUCUAUUUCGACAAUUUCCCGGCACUCUUUGUGACAUUCCACG